UACGUAGGGUGCGAGCGUUGUCCGGAAUUAUUGGGCGUAAAGAGCUUGUAGGCGGUUUGUCGCGUCUGCCGUGAAAGCCCAGGCUUAACCCUGGGUCUGCGGUGGGUACGGGCAGACUAGAGUGUGGUAGGGGAGACUGGAAUUCCUGGUGUAGCGGUGAAAUGCGUAGAUAUCAUUUGGAACGCCAAUGGUGAAAACAGCUCGCUGGGGGUGUGCUGACGCUGAGACACGAAAGCCAGGGAGCGAACGGG
rnacentral:rRNA from 1 species